rnacentral:rRNA from 1 species
CGUGUAGGCGGCCAUGCAGGUCCGUUGUGAAAACUCGAGGCUCAACCUCGAGACGUCGAUGGAAACCGCAUGGCUAGAGUCCGGAAGAGGAGAGUGGAAUUCCUGGUGUAGCGGUGAAAUGCGCAGAUAUCAGGAAGAACACCCGUGGCGAAGGCGGCUCUCUGGGACGGUACUGACGCUGAGACGCAAAGCGUGGGAGCGAACA